rnacentral:rRNA from 1 species
AUGUGGCCAUGGGCGGCGCUGGUGCUGGUCGCGCUCUACUUGCAUCCGGCCGCGGCGGCGUCGGCCGAUACUGUGGCGGCGGCGUCCUACAUUGUGCACAUGGACAAGUCGGCCAUGCCGGGGGUGUUCUCGAGCCACCUGCGCUGGUAUGAGUCCACGCUCGCCGCAGCCGCCCCGGGAGCGGACAUGUUCUACGUCUACAACCACGCUAUGCACGGCUUCGCUUCGCGGCUCUCCGCGGAUGAGCUUGACAGGCUCCGACGCUCCCCGGGGUUCGUGUCGUGCUACCGCGACGACGCCAGGGCGGUGCGCGACACGACGCACACGCCCGAGUUCCUCGGCCUCGGUGUCGGCGCGACCGGGGGAAUAUGGGAGGCGUCCGAGUACGGCGAGAACAUGAUCAUCGGCGUGGUGGACACGGGCGUGUGGCCCGAGAGCGCGAGCUUCAGCGACGACGGGCUCCCCCCGGUGCCGGCACGGUGGAAGGGCUUCUGCGAGUCCGGCCCGGCGUUCGACGCGGCCAAGGCGUGCAACCGGAAGCUCGUCGGCGCGCGCAAGUUCAACAAGGGCCUCAUCGCCAACUCCAAUGUGACCAUCGCAGUCGACUCCCCGCGAGACUCGGAAGGCCACGGCACGCACACGUCAUCCACGGCGGCCGGCUCGCCCGUGUCGGGCGCGUCCUUCUUCGGCUACGGGCAAGGCGUCGCUCGCGGCAUGGCGCCCCGCGCCAGAGUGGCGGUGUACAAGGCCCUGUGGGAGGACGGCGCGUACGCUUCCGACAUACUCGCCGCCAUGGACCAGGCCAUCGCCGACGGCGUCGACGUGCUCUCCCUCUCCCUUGGCUUCAACGGCCGGCAGUUACACGAAGACCCCGUCGCUAUUGGCGCAUUCGCGGCCAUGCAGCGCGGCGUCUUCAUGUCAACCUCGGCCGGUAACGACGGGCCGGAUCCCGGGUACCUUCGGAACGGCUCGCCGUGGGUGCUCACCGUCGCGGCGGGCACGGUGGACCGGGAGUUCUCUGCCGUCGUCCGGCUCGGCGAGGGCACGACCUUGGUUGGCGAAUCGCUGUACGCCGGAACCCCACACAGACUCGGAAACGCCGGGCUCGUGUUCCUCGGCCUGUGCGACAACGACACGGCGCUCGCAGCGAACCGCGGCAAGGUCGUCGUCUGCGACGUGCCGUACAUCGACGCCCUGACCCCCGCGAUAUCGGCGGUGAAAGCCGCCAAGGUGCGCGCAGGGCUGUUCCUGUCCAACGACACGUUGAGGGAGCUAUACGAGAACUUCCCAUUUCCGGGCGUGAUCCUGAAGCCGCAGGGCGCCCACGCGCUGCUGCACUACAUCCAGAGGAGCCGCACGCCCAAGGCCUCCAUCAAGUUCGCGGUGACCGUGGUGGACACGAAGCCUGCGCCGCAGGUGGCGACCUACUCGUCGCGCGGCCCAUCGCGGAGCUGCCCCACGGUGCUCAAGCCCGACCUGCUCGCGCCCGGCUCGCUCAUCCUCGCCAUCGUCACCGACGCAGGGACGCAGUCGCCGCUGUUCAGCAAGUUCAACGUCAUCUCCGGCACGUCCAUGUCGUGCCCACACGGCCACACGCGUCAGGCGUGGCGGCGCUGCUCAAGGCCGUGCACCCGGAAUGGAGCCCCGCGGCAGUGCGGUCGGCGAUGA